GACGUAGGGCGCGAGCGUUGUCCGGAAUUAUUGGGCGUAAAGAGCGCGUAGGCGGUCCGAUAAGUCGGCUGUGAAAGUCAGGGGCUCAACCCUUGGAAGCCGGCCGAUACUGUCGGACUAGAGUCCGGAAGAGGCGAGUGGAAUUCCCGGUGUAGCGGUGAAAUGCGCAGAUAUCGGGAGGAACACCGGUGGCGAAGGCGGUUCUCUGGGCCUUACCUGACGCUGAGGAGCGAAAGCGUGGGGAGCGAACAGG
rnacentral:rRNA from 1 species